GAUGAACGCUGGCGGCGUGCCUAAUACAUGCAAGUCGAGCGAACAGACGAGGAGCUUGCUCCUCUGACGUGAGCGGCGGACGGGUGAGUAACACGUGGAUAACCUACCUAUAAGACGGGGAUAACUUCGGGAAACCGGAGCUAAUACCGUAUAAUAUAUUGAACCGCAGGGUUCAAUAGUGAAAGACGGUUUUGCUGUCACUUAUAGAUGGAUCCGCGCCGCAUUAGCUAGUUGGUAAGGUAACGGCUUACCAAGGCGACGAUGCGUAACCGACCUGAGAGGGUGAUCGGCCACACUGGAGCUGAGACACGGUCCAGACUCCGACGGGAGGCAGCAGUAGGGAAUCUUCCGCAAUGGGCGAAAGCCUGACGGAGCAACGCAGCGUGAGUGAUGAAGGUCUUCGGAUCGUAAAACGCUGUUAUUAGGGAAGAACAAAUGUGUAAGUAACUAUGCACGUCUGGACGGUACCUAAUCAGAAAGCCACGGCUAACUACGU
rnacentral:rRNA from 1 species